GAUCAGGAUUGCACUGACAUACAGUAUAUGGUCAAUCAUUUACGCUGUGAUUCACUUCUUUCACUUCCAGACAGAUUUGAUCAAAUCAAGACAACUCUGAAAGAAGAUUUGGAACGAGAAGAAAGAUUGAGGAAGAUUGCAGAGAACAACCUUGACCUGCAGAAGGAGGAGGACCAUGAGAAGGAGGUGGAGGUUCUGAGGAAGGAGAUCCGGAGGCUGAAAGGAGGAGAUAGUGGCUACAGAGAACAGACAGAGGAGGAGGCGCAGGUUAACACUGAUUUACAGGAAACCAGGUCAUACAGCUCACCAGGCACGUCAAGGUGAUACCCGAGUUACGUAAAGAUCUUCACAACCUGCAGACCCAGAAAGAUGAUCUGGGCAGGAAGAUGAAGAAUCAGUCAGAACAGGCCAGAGGUAGCUUUCUAUAUUCUAUUAUUAAACUGGGUGGUUCCAGCCCCGAAUGCUGAUUGGCUGACAGCCAUGGUAUAUCAGACUGUAUACCACGGGUAUGACUAAACAUUUAUUUUUACUGCUCUAAUUAAGUUGGUAACCAGUUUAUAAUAGCAAUAAGGCACCUCGAGGGUUUGUGAUAUAUGGCUAAUAUAGGGCUGUAUCCAGGCACUCCACAUUGCGUCAUGCUUAAGAACAGCCCUUAGCCGUGGUAUAUUGGCCAUAUACCACACCUCCUCAGACCUUAUUGCUUAAAAAAAUACUCUCUGUAAUGUAUUGUGUUAUGGGUAUUUUUCUAUUCAUGCCAACAGUGUCUUUAUAUGGAUUGAUGAAUGCUUUACAAAUCCAGAUGAUUUUGUUGUCACUUCUCAUACAUGAUUGUUUGUGGCUCUCUCCGUACAGCCAAGAUGAGUGUGAUCACAAGACAACUUCUUUGUGGCAUGGUUGAAGAGGAGGUCAUUUCCAGGUAGUCUAAUGGCAUUAUGCAUUUCCUAAAAUUUGUGAGAAGAAAAGUUCACUUUAGCCUUAAGCAUUACACAUGUUUCCGUUGAAAGGUUGACCUCCGACAGUCCAGACCAGAUCUAUGAAGUUGGGAAUUUGUCGACUGCAUUUGAUGGACUGCAGAAAGCUUGCAGGUUUGAGACAACACCUGUACAUUUACUGACUAAAGUAUGCUACUUGUUUAGCUAACUAAGGCAGUGUUUCCCAACUCCGGUCCUCCAGUCCCACCAACAGCCCAACCCCUUACUGUAUCUACUGUAUCUACUUAUACUGUACCUUCUACUG
rnacentral:lncRNA from 1 species